ACUGGAAGUUUCCAUCCAAAAAGCAGAAUCCUACUCUUCUAAUAACUGCAGAUAAAAGCUCUUCAGGACAUGUGAAUUGUGCUUGCAGUGUCAGUGAACAUUAGCAGAACAUCUGCUGCAGACUGGACUUGAAGUCAAGGACCAUAUAGCUGGCUGUCAACAGGCUGCGAUUGUACACAGGGGAAAACAGCAAGGACUAGACUGAGUGGAUUCAGAAGAGUACUAUCUGACAUUAGAUGAAGGCAGAAUCAUGGGAAGGUCUGUUUCUAUCUCAUGCAGCCUAGUAGACAAGUGGAAGAGAUGGGCAUCAACUCUGCAUUCAGACUGCCUGAAAAUUUAAAUGAGUUUGGAUAAAACUUUGAAAUGGGUUGUUCCAUUCUUGCUACAGCUUCACCAGGAGCCUUUGUGCAUGAAGAUUUUGCCCUUCACUGGCAAUGCAACAAGAGGGUAAACUUCUGCUGGAAUGUAUCUGCCAGAACUGAGCUUCUAAGAAAGUUAUUGCCGAAUCAAUACCCCUGUGCCUACAAAUAGAUACCCAAGAAGUGAAACUUAAAUAUAUAGUGAAGUCCACACACUUUGUAUCUUAAAGGACCUAACAGGAUGCUUGCAGCAUACUUCAUAUGAUGCAUUGCAUUAACUGCAAAAUGAAUAUGUCUUCAUUGUACAGUUAUUCCAUAACAUUUGCAGGCUCUUGUCAGGUUGAGAUACUGAGAAAUAUGCAUGUCAAGACCAGAACCUUUUUGCUAAGCUAAACUAAGCAGAACUCAACAGAACCUUUUUGCACUGUAUUGUAGUACAAAUUCACAGUAAGGACAAUGGGAAUGCUUUGGACGUUUGGAAUAAUGCCUUCUCCCAUAGUGAAUCAGAAAAAAAAAUAAAAAUUUUCUAACACAAAAUAUAAGCUGUACACUGAAAACACUGCAUGUAAAUACAGCUUACAAUUCAUUUCAUAGAACAAUGUUGCCAGAUCUCAAUUUAAAAUAAAACUUCACUAAGUUUGAAAGGAGAUAGUGCAACUUAACCAUAGAUAUCCAAAACUAAACUGCUAAGAUCCAAUUGAUAGCCUAUCUAGUUCAUAUUGCCAUGGAAUAUGGUUAUGGAAAAAAAAUAGCUUUGAAAACAUAUUUAAUUGACUUUUAGUAGGACAGAAUGAAGAAUGCAUGUCAAAAGGAAUACAAAUAAAUCAUUAAAAAAAUGCUUAAUUUAAGCUUUUACUAUGAUUUCUGGUACUCAAAUCCAAAUACCUGGAAUGCUGAACCUUAUUUCAACUCUGUUACAAAGUCAGAACUUUGCUGAGCAGCUGAAGGAUGGUCUUGAGUACAACACUAUGUGGCUGAAAAGUCUUCAACAGGACAGAGCAGGAAAUGUAUAUUUUCAGUAGUGCAGAGGUGACAAAUUUAACAGAUUUUUCUGCUACGUAAGAUUCUCUAAGGACUUUCAAAGUAGUGCAAAGUAAUUUUUCAGGCUGUAUGCAUAUGCUUAGUGUAAAGACAAAACUGGCUGCAGAGCCCACUUAAACUUUUGGUGAAACAACUGCUCUGCACAGAAAAACACGGCCUAAGAAAUGUGAAUAGAAAGCCAAAUAACAAUACAGCAUAUAGAAUUUGUCCUUAGUGACAGUAUAUUAGGCAGAAUUGUGAUGGAUUCCAUGUAAAUGUGGUGUGAGAGAAUACUAGGAAUCAGUAAUUGUAUUUGCAUGAACUUGUUCAUAUUUCUUCACAUUUAACACUAGACAUUCAUGAUUUAAGAAUAAAACAGUAGCUCUUUCCUUCUAUGGUCAGACUGUGGUGGUUAGCAUGGUUAAUCAUCUCAACCACAAAGGUUCCAUUAAAUCUUCCAUCCACAGGAAAGGCAUACUGAAAUGGCUGAUAUUCAGAAGAAAGACUUACAUAUACACUUAUAACAGUCUUUUACAUGGAUACACACACGCACACCUUAUAUAAAGUAGUAGAUACUGUAUUUAUACACAAACACAACACAUCCAUUCUUCUGGAUUUUGACAUCCAGAAAGUUCCAGCAUAAAAUUAUCCUCUUUAUGUCAGAAAAAAAACUUCAGUUUUAUAUCAAGAUUUCCUGACCUCUGCAAAAAGGGGUGAUGAGACUUUUUAAUGGGGAAGCUUUGGCACCAGUCAGCACAAAAUUUCCAAUUGCUGGACACCGUUCCUUCACUUACCACAUCAGAUAAUUAAUCCUAGAAAAACAGAGCGUGGUGUCACACACAG
rnacentral:lncRNA from 7 species